rnacentral:lncRNA from 1 species
AACCUGGAACCCACUAAGAGGCGACGGCGCUCUCGUCCCGCACAAAACGUGUCCCACAAAUACUGGAGGGGGGCGCCGCGGAGAAGGGCUCUUCUUCCCCCAUCCGAAAAGCGUCCCACUCCGAGGCGAGAGACGGCGCCCCCGCUGCCCUCUCCAGGGGGGAAAUUAAAGGGUCCCGCAGGAGGAGGGUCACGAACGCGCCCCAUCCCGCGGGUGAAGAAGCGGGCGAGCGAAGCAGUUGGGAGGGAAAGGGGGCUCCAGUCGGACGGGAGGGAAGAAGACCUAAAACUUGAUGAUAAGAAGGACUCUGCUGGAGGAGGAGGAGGAGGAGGAGGAGGAAAUACGAGCGCACCCCUCCCGUCGAGUCGAUCGCCGGCUAGGCGGCGGGCGCGCGCUCGUGUGUGUGUGUGUGUGCGCGCGCGCGCGAGCGCGAGACAGGGGAGAGAGGCAGAGAGAGAGAGGCGACGUCCACCGCCGAGGGGCUGCUGCUGGGGGGGCGGGAGGCUGGAUCGGGGGGAGCGCAGUGCACGCACAUACACACACACACAUGCGUACAAGGAGGCACCUCGCCGCCCACUGUCUUGCUCUCUCUCUGAACGCACGCCUUCAGUCGCACGCAAACGGGCACGUCGGGCGCUUCUCCUUCCCCGGCGGGGGUGCGGCGGCGCGGCGGGAAUCGCGACACAGCGGCAGGCGCAGCAGCAGCAGAGGCAGCGCAGGAUCUGGCUGAGGCGGCGGCGCUUCUUCGUCUCCCCCUCGCCGCCGUCCCUGAGCUGGGGAGGGAAUGCGGCGCGCCCUGCCUGCGCCCCGCCGCCCGCCGCCCGCGCUCUCUCAGCNAGGAGCCACCUAAACACCUCGGGCGCGUGCCGCCGCCGCCCGCCCGCCCCUUUCUGGACGCGAUCCUCUGUCCUGCCCCGCCGUCGGCGCUCUUCCCAGGACGACUGCUCGGGAGCGGCGGCGGCGGCGGUGGAAGCAGCACGGAGACCCCUUUCGCCGCCCGCUGCGACGCCCCUUCGAGCGCCCGCCUGCCCGCCUGCCCCGCCGCUCUCUUGCUCGCGGGCGCCGCGCGCCGCGCCGCUCCGCCAGAGUCCCGCCUGGCGGGCAUGA